GACGAACCGUGCGAACGUUAUUCGGAAUCACUGGGCUUAAAGCGCGUGUAGGCGGCUUGGCACGUCCGUCGCUGAAAGCCCCCGGCUCAACCGGGGAAGUGGCGUGGAUACGACCAAGCUUGAGGGACGUAGGGGGGGCUGGAACUUCCGGUGGAGCGGUGAAAUGCGUUGAGAUCGGAAGGAACGCCCGUGGCGAAAGCGAGCCCCUGGACGUCAACUGACGCUGAGACGCGAAAGCUAGGGGAGCGAACGGG
rnacentral:rRNA from 1 species